UAUUACUAGUUGCCAGCAUUAAUUGGGCACUCUAGUGAGACUGCCGGUGACAAACCGGAGGAAGGUGGGGAUGACGUCAAAUCAUCAUGCCCCUUAUGACCUGGGCUACACACGUGCUACAAUGGAUGGUACAACGAGUCGCAAAGUCGCGAGCUAAGCCAAUCUCUUAAAGCCAUUCUCAGUUCGGAUUGUAGUCUGCAACUCGACUACAUGAAGUCGGAAUCGCUAGUAAUCGCGGAUCAGCACGCCGCGGUGAAUNCGUUC
rnacentral:rRNA from 1 species